UACGAAGGGGGCUAGCGUUGUUCGGAAUAACUGGGCGUAAAGCGCGCGUAGGCGGACCAUUAAGUCAGAGGUGAAAGCCUGAGGCUCAACCUCAGAACUGCCUUUGAUACUGAUGGUCUCGAGUUCGGGAGAGGUUGGUGGAACUGCAAGUGUAGAGGUGAAAUUCGUAGAUAUUUGCAAGAACACCGGUGGCGAAGGCGGCCAACUGGACCGACACUGACGCUGAGGCGCGAAAGCGUGGGGAUCAAACAGG
rnacentral:rRNA from 1 species